rnacentral:rRNA from 1 species
GGAGUUUGGUCCGUGUCUCAGUACCAAUGUGGGGGACCUUCCUCUCAGAACCCCUACUGAUCGUCGCCUCGGUGGGCCGUUACCCCGCCGACAAGCUAAUCAGACGCAUCCCCAUCCCUUAGCGAUAAAUCUUUGGUAUUCGUCAGAUGUCCUCAAAAUACAACAUAGAGUAUUAAUCCGACUUUCGCCGGGCUAUCCUCUACUAAGGGGAAGGUUGGAUACGCGUUACUCACCCGUGCGCCGGUCGCCAUCUAUCAAAGCAAGCUUCGAUAAUGAUGCCCCUCGACUUGCAUGUGUUAAGCCUGUAGCUAGCGUUCAUC